UUUCCGGUUGAUCCCGCCGCCGGCCACCGCUAUCAAGUUCCGACUAAGCCAUGCGAGUCAAGGUAUCGUAAGAUGCCGGCAAACUGCUCAGUAACACGUGGAUAAUCUAACCUUGAGUAAGGGAUAACCUCGGGAAACUGAGGAUAAUACCUUAUAAUUGCUUAAAACUGGAAUGUUUAAGCAAUAAAAGUUCCGACGCUCAAGGAUGAGUCUGCGACCUAUCAGGUAGUAGGUGGUGUAAUGGACCACCUAGCCUCAGACGGGUACGGGCCCUGGGAGGGGUAGCCCGGAGAUGGACUCUGAGACAUCAGUCCAGGCCCUACGGGGCGCAGCAGGCGCGAACACUGUGCAAUGCGCGAAAGCGCGACACGGGGAGCUUGAGUGUCUUGGCAUAGCCAAGACUUUUCUCAUUCCUAAAAAGCAUGAGGAAUAAGUGCUGGGUAAGACGGGUGCCAGCCGCCGCGGUAACACCCGCAGCACAAGUGGUGGUCACUUUUAUUGAGCCUAAAGCGUUCGUAGCCGGUUUUGUAAAUCUUUAGAUAAAGCCUGAAGCUUAACUCCAGAAAGUCUGAAGAGACUGCAAGACUUGAGAUCGGGUGAGGUUAAACGUACUUUCAGGGUAGGGGUAAAAUCCUGUAAUCCCGGAAGGACGACCAGUGGCGAAAGCGUUUAACUAGAACGAAUCUGACGGUAAGGAACGAAGGCUAGGGUAGCAAACCGGAUUAGAUACCCGGGUAGUCCUAGCUGUAAACACUGCCCAUUUGAUGUUGCUUUUCCGUUGAGGGAAGGCAGUGUCGGAGCGAAGGUGUUAAAUGGGCCGCUUGGGAAGUAUGGUCGCAAGACUGAAACUUAAAGGAAUUGGCGGGGGAGCACCGCAACGGGAGGAAUGUGCGGUUUAAUUGGAUUCACCGCCGGA
rnacentral:rRNA from 1 species